CACGUUUGUUGUCACUGCUUCUAUGACUGCUACCAUUGGUAUUAUCGACUUGUCGGCUGCUCUCUUUGGGUUGGGUUGACUCAUUAUCGUGCUCCAAUAACUGAGCCCUAUUUACAACAUCUGAAUACAAACACAGUUUGUGAGAAAUUAAGUAUUGAUGUAUCUCGGGUUUCAAACCUCUUAGAAACAUCCGCGUCAUUCUCUCCUCAUUAUCAACCAAGUGGGGCGCAAACCGGGACAACUCAGCAAACUUAACUUCAUACUGUGACACAGUCAUAUUAUUUUGCUCCAACUUAAUAAACUCCACCUCCUUCAUGUGAUGAAUACUUUCGGGAAACUACUUGUCGUUGAACAGCUCUUGGAACUUCUCCCAAGACAUUUUCAAUGCAGUAGGUUGAGUACGCUUUACAGAUUCCCACCAGUAAUCUGCCUCUCCUCGCAACAUGAAGGUGGCAAAGGGAACCUUUUGCUCCUCGGAGCAUCCCAAGACAUCAAAUAUCUUGGUGAUUUACUUUAUCCACGUCUCUGCUUUAAGUGAUUUUGGCUCUCCAAUAAACUCCGGUGGUCCCAGCUCCUUGAACUGUUUUGCGGUGACCGUCCGAGAGUUGCUAGUGUUUCCACCUACAUUUUGGAUAGGAGCCGCUCUCGCCUGAUGUUGCAUGAAUUGCAUAAAGCUUCUGAACAUCCCAUCGUUCAUCAUUUGAUCGGUGUUGUUGUUUACCUGAGAAUUAUUAUCUUCGUGUUGCACAUUAUCCUGGGUAUUGAUCGUUGGUGACUCAACGGUCUCAUGUGCUUCAUUGUUGAUCUCAACAUUUUCCGAUGCCAUUUUCAAACACUGUCACAAAACAAGGGUUAAUUGACAUAUCAC
rnacentral:lncRNA from 1 species